ensembl:lncRNA
AGAACUUGAUUAUUUCAGGCCAUUUAGCCAGUCCAGGGUUGCAUAGCUCGGCAAUCAAAGAGCGAGGGCCAGAGAUUGGAAAUUCUGCAUCACUGGGCUAGAGCACUCUUCAAUAAACAAUUCCUUCUAAGAGAUGGAAAUGUGUCAGAGAUGGUGAAACUUAGGAAGAAGAUUGGAGUAAAUAAUAUAUUAUUUCCAAAAUCUCAACGUGCCAGAUUUGAUAUAAGGAUAUCAGUUUAAAACUAACUUCAAUUUUCAUUUAGUGCAUGAGUUAGAACAGGCAGGUUUACUUCUUUCGACACAGUAAUAGAGACAGUAUGUUGUGAUGAUUAAAAGCAUGGACCCUAGAGUCAGACUGCCUGAGUUUAAAUUUGGAUCUAUCACUUAAUAUUUGUAGCACUGUAGCAAAAUUUCAGUAGUUCUAUGGUUUCAUUUUCUGAUAUGUAAAUUACAUUUUAUAGGAACAUUGCCUGCAGGUAAUUAUGAGGAUUAAAUGAGCAAUUACACAUAAAAUAUUUUGAAGAGUGCUCUUCACAUAGCAAACAUUCAAUAAAUAUUAAGUAUUAUUAUUCAACCAUUGAGAAAAGUUUGAGCUUCCUUAGACAUUAGUAUUUAUUAUUUUAUUAUCAACCAAGUUUCUCUUUUUGCUCUAAAAAAGGGUUAAUUAAAAAAGAAAGCAUCAUUGAGCUACUCCAACUCUUUUGGAGUUCUCUUUUGCUGAAAUAUAUGUGGCUUCCUCCUUCGAAACUAUCAAUUGUCAUUGAGUGACCGUUCAUCUAUACAUGUCUACAAAUAUGAGACAUAAGAUUGUCAGUUGAUCUGGGAGUGGAGCAAUGGCCACUGCUGUGAAGGUGAGGGAAAGAUAAAAUUAUAUCCAGUGAUUACUGUGCCAUCAUCUCUUUUGAUAAUUAUGAAGAAUAACUAUUAAAAAGUAAGCAUCAAAGAAAAUCUUAUCUUAGGGACUAUGCUUAAAUAAGCUUGGGAUCUGAGUCCUAGGGAACAAUCACUUCUUUGUGCAAGCUGUUUUCUGCUAAACCCCUUAUUUCCAAUCACAGAAUUAAAGGCAAUAAAGAAAUCAAAUUAUAUGAAGAAUAUUUACCUGUAAGAAUCUUUCAAGGAUGUUACACACUUCAAGACUGAAAGAAACUUUCAGGAUUCAAAAAUGAAAUAUGAAAGCCAAAUGGAACAAUGGAAGGAGAAAAGAAUAGAAGAAACAAAAAAUUAAGUGGAGUCCAAAGAGGAGCCAAAGAAUCUGUUCUUCUAUGCAAUUUUCAGGCCAUAGAUCAAGGGAUUCAGCCUGGGAAUCACUGCAGUGUAAAACACCAUGGCUGCUUUGCCAGUAUCCACACUGUUGGAAAAACUGGGCCUGCAAUAAGUGAAAAGUAUGAUUCCCUGCAAGACAGCAAUCACUGUGUGGUGGGAGGCACAGCCCCUCAGCACAUAGUUGUAUAUUCUAGUUGUAAGUCGCUCUGGUUGUGCUCUGUGGGACGCCACAUCAGCAUGGCUUGAUGAGCUGUGCCACAUCCAUGCCCAGCAUCAGAAUCAGCGAAACCCUGGGCCACUGAAAUGGAGUGAGUGAGCUUAAACACUGUGCCAUGGGGCUGGCCCUGAGAUUUUCUUCUUGUGCAUCCUGAAACUACUGUCACAAAACCUAUCUUCCUGAAGGAGAGAGUCUCAUGACAGAAAAACUAAAAAACUAUCUAUAAAGAGUACCAUUGGCAGUGAAGUUUCAUGUCAUCUGGGCCACCCACUCACAGGAGAGCUGCUUUGCUUACCUAUUUGUCUUAGAUUUAAAAACAUGGCAGGUUUUUUUAAAAACUAAUUUAAAAAUAAAUAUUUUAUUGAAUUUGAUUUCAUGGUCAUUAUCCCUAAAUUGAAUAACAUCAAUAUGAAGCUCUGAGUUUUGAUGAAAUGUAUUCAAAACACAUACGAUAGUGCUGUUUUAGUAAAAUAUUGUAUUGGCAAGGUUCAAUGCAAUCAGCAGUAUGUUAAAUUUUCUAAACUUUUUAAUUCCAUCUAUUUUUUGGAAGAUUAAUCCUGAGCUAACUGCUGCCAAUCCUCCUCUAUUUGCUGAGGAAGACCGGCCCUGAACCAACAUCCGUGCCCAUCUUCCUCUACUUUACAUGUGGGACGCCUACCACAGCGUGGCUUGCCAAGUGGUGCCAUGUCCACACCCGGGAUCCGAACUGUCGAACCCAUGGCUGGCAAAGCAGAACGUGGGAACUUAACUGCUGCACCACUGGGCUUGCCCCUAAUUCCAUUGUUUUAAUCAAGGUGCCUCCAAGUGGAAUAACAGAUAUACUUAAUUGUUAUAUGAUAAGAUGUGGAAGGUCUUUUGGUAACCUUUUCAGAAAUUAAGAAAGUGAGUGUUUCUAAUGAUUGCAGAACAAACCACUCCAAAACAUAUUAAUUAAAAUCAACAACUAAAGAUUAUUGUGAGAAAUUGGCACGUAACUUGGAUGGAGUUGAAAGAGUUGAGUGAUAUUCCUAUUUUAGCACAAUCUCUGACAGUUUCUAGUCCCAUUUCCAUUUAAUAUGACCAAGCAGUCUCCGUAUUUUCACCUAUUAAAAAGUGGAAAUAGAAAUGAUGCUGAACCCUCUUGCUUUCUAACAUUGUGAUAUCUUUCCAAGGAUACAUUAAUUAAUUGAAAUAAAUAAUCCAAACAUAUAUUCAUAAUAUUUCUCACACAAAGAAUAUUUCCAGGGCUCAGCCCCAUGGCUGAGUGGUUAAAGUCCUGCGCACUCCACUUCAGCGGCCCAGGUUCACAGCCCAAAUCCUGGGCGCAAAUGUACUCCAGUCCCCAACCACACCGUGGAGGUAACCCACAUACAAAAAAAUAGAGGAAGAUUGGCACAGAUGUUAGCUCAGGCUUAUUCUUCCUCAGCAAAAUAAAAUAUUUCCAAAAAUAUUUUUUCAAUUUUGAUUGAUUAUAUUUUAUCCAAAUUUGCAAUGCAAUUAUAUUUUAAUUAGUGGUAUAAUUAUUAUUGAAUCAUUACAAGGUUAACUUAAUACAGAAAGAAAAACUUUUGAUUUUGCCAAAAGCAUUAUGAAAUAAAAAGUAUGAAUCUGAUUAAUAGCAUUGUAGUGAUCAAUGGGAGGAGUAGGAUUGAAUGUAAAUUCAGGAGAAGGAAAGGCACAAACAUGACUGUUUUGGAUGUCAUUUAUUUAUGUAUUCUAAAUGGAUAUGCAAUGGAAAUUACAGUUUUUGUUAUUUAAGUUUAUGAUGAAAUAUUGUAUAUGUAAAAUUAAAUUCUUCGAAUAUAUACCUUUUCAAAACUAAUUGAGAAGCGUAUGACCAAAAGAUGUGAAGACUACUAAUAUGAGUCAUGUUGUAUAUAGAAGCAACAGAAUCUACUAUAAAGAAUCUGAACUGUCACAACCUGAUAAUGGAAAACAUAUUGUAUGCCAGUGUUUAAUGGAAAGUGUGCUUCUGAUAUGUCUGGAGUCUUGAAUGAUUUCAUGAAUUCUAUCAACAAUUGCUUUUACAAUGUUGGCGAGGUCACUUAAGCAUCAUAGGCCUUGGUUUCUUCAAAGUAAAGGCAAACGGUUUGUGGUAAUUCUAUCAAAAAAUGUGCUCAUCCUUGGUGCAAGCAGGACAGAAGUAAAAUAAACUUCUCUAAAAAAAGGCAUUAACCAUUACGGAUUCAGUUUAAGAUUAAUAUAAAUAAUUUCUUAAUUUCAAAGAAAAUUAGAAAUUGCAUAAUUGCUAAAUGUAUAACAAAGAUAAAUUUGUAAAUAGCUAGAGAAACAGAAGUCAAUAGAAGAGAAAAGCAUUCCCUCAUCAGACAUCCAAUAUCUAAAACACUAUUUUAUUUUUCCAUAUAGAAUGGUUAUUUAAUUGAUUCCUUAUUAUAUAAUGUAUAUGAAUGGAACAUUUCAAUAAUGAACAUAAGGUUAAAAUAACAUGAACAUUCCAAAUAACUUUAUUGAAUCCAUAUAAAAUUGUUCCCCACGUUAGAUUUUCUUCCUUACUAAAAUACCUGGAAAUUUAUUUCUUCCAUUAUAUUGAUGAUUAGUUUGGAAUUUUAUCUAGACAUAUUGAUUAAAGAGAAGGAGAAGGACGUAUAAUUUAUUCAAGCAUAAGUGAGUUAUUAAUGUUAAAGAAAUCUAGAAUUUUUAAUUUACCAGAUCAAAUAGGUCUUAAUAGUAAUGAAUGCCUGCUUUUCAUUUUAUUUUGAAUAAAGUUAUAUAGGUGAUUUGUUUCCAACACUUGAGGUGACUCCAGACACUUUUUUUUUUUAAGAUGGGAGUUCAAUUGAGAAGGAUUCAGAAAUUACCCUCAUGUUCAGGAAAAAGAAUCAAGGAAUUGAUUAUGGUUUUCAUGUGUUUAUAGGCAGAAUGAAAGUAUGAAGUACAGAUUGGGUUGAUACCGUGCUUACUUUUUGCCUAUAAGAUUUCUUGAGAGGCAAUCUAUUAUUUCUAUGCCUCUGGUGGAGUCUAUCACAGCUUAUCAUCCUACCAUACUUGAGCUCCUUUGAAACACAUUCAGAAUAAAGGCCGUGUCUUAUCAACUUUCCAUUCAUGCCAAGUAACCUGUAUACACAAUAAUAUACACACACAUGUGCAUGUCAUAAAGUAUUCACUCAAUAAAAAAUUUGGUUCAUCAUUGACUCAGUAUUGCAUUUUGACUUUGCCAUGCUUCCAUCUUCCAAAGAAAACUCCUUGUUGAAAUGUGUCUCCUAAAAUUCUGACCAUUCUGUUAUUCAAGGACAAAUUCAAACAAUACCUGUUUUAUGAAGACAUCUCUCUAAUGUCCCUAAAUGGAUUUGAACUUUCCUUUCUCUCAAAUUCUCCAUGAUAACUUAUUAUUUUCUACCUUAUACAGUGACUACUUUUUUCACUGCCCUACUGUCAACACUAGAUUUUACAUUCUUUGAAGGAUGAAGACUAGUCUUACUUUAACUGCUAUUUGUACUUUUACAAGAGAAAUUCACAUGUUUAUUGAGAGCCUAGUGUACUUCAGGUAUGUUAUAAGAAAGGGGAUAAAACUGCUUAUUGAGAUUA